GCCUGCUUUCCCUCUUUCUGCCUAUAUAGUACAUCACAAAUAGGCACAGAAAUAGGGUGGCCAGGUGAUAGAAUUCUGCACUCCCAGGAAAGCUGGUUGGGGGAAAAAUGAAGUAAGAUUACAGGUUAAAGCCAGGUGAGGUACUGGGCACAGGCAUUUGGACAGCUGACAUCUUUCUGCUGACUGGGGAAUUAAAGCCUCGCGGGGCACCCUGAAGGAACGCAGCAUGCUCUUCUCUAUGGCAGCACUCGGCAGAACCUGGGCUCACCCCAGGAGUCUCCUACUGGGACAGUCAGAAGACAAGACUGGCUUCUGUACCAAGAAAAACAUGUAAAUGGAGAAAACAAUUUCCAGGAUUUAAAACUACAGCAAACCAAAUGUAUCUCUCAAGAAGACCGGACCAACCAGCAGACGAUACAGGUUACAGAGUAAACUUGAAGAAAGUAUGCACCAGGAGAAUGGAAAUAAGUCCCAGAGGCUGAUGUUUAGUCCAGAUGUUCCUGUGACUUUGGGCCAAUGACUUAAAAUCUUUCAGCUUUAGUUCCUUAUCUCUGAACCACAGAUGUUUAAAUUAUAGACCUAUACAGCUAUAUGAUUAAAGCACAUGGUCUAGACUUGUAAUCAGGAAGCCAUCACUUUCCAAUUAUGCCACUUUGAGCAAGUUACUUCACUUCUGUAGCCCUCAAUUUUCUCAUCCAACAAAGUGGGAUUUUUCUAAAGAUUAAAUAAACGAUGCUUAUAAAUAUAUAAAGCAUUCAGAGUAGCAACUAAUACACAACAAAAGCCCAGGGUUAAUGAUUAUCAUUACUAUGAUUAACACUAAUUUUGGUAUUAACUUCUUUAAACUAAAAUUGCCAGCUUCAUUCCCUUUCAAAAAACCUCAGCAAAAAGAGCUACCCCUGUUUCAGAAUUAGCUGAGCAAGCAGGAAGGACACCUUUUGAUGUCUUCGUGUAAACAUUCACCAAUGUGUAAAUCACCAGUUCCCAGUGAGAUCCAUGUUGAAGUUGUCGGGCCUCCCUUGGAAGAAAGCUCUUUAUGAGGGGUAAGGACGGGAAGGUACAUGCUCUUUUGUCCUCCGUCCUUGAAUCUGAACUUUGGAAGCUGAAACAGUCAUCCUGCAGGGUAAACAUCCCAUCCUCUAAGGAAGCAAAACAAAAAGAGCCUUGUACCCAACAGACCUCCUACUCCCUGUCUUCUUCUUUUACAGUGCAGAAAAAUAAAUGCUAAGGUCAAAUUAUUUAAUACUGAUAUACAGUUAAAGGCCAUAAUUUCCCUAGUUUAAUAGGCUAACUGGAGGGCUGGGCUAUUAUCAGGGCUU